UACGUAGGGGGCAAGCGUUGUCCGGAUUUAUUGGGCGUAAAGAGCGUGUAGGCGGCCAUACAGGUCAGCUGUGAAAACUCGAGGCUCAACCUCGAGACGUCGGUUGAAACCGUAUGGCUAGAGUCCGGAAGAGGAGAGUGGAAUUCCCGGUGUAGCGGUGAAAUGCGCAGAUAUCGGGAAGAACACCGAUGGCGAAGGCAGGUCUCUGGGCAUUAACUGACGCUGAGGAGCGAAAGCAUGGGGAGCGAACAGG
rnacentral:rRNA from 1 species